GACGAACGCUGGCGGCGUGCUUAACACAUGCAAGUCGAACGGAAAGGCCCUGCUUGUGUGGGGUGCUCGAGUGGCGAACGGGUGAGUAACACGGGAGUAACCUGCCCUUGACUUUGGGAUAACUUCAGGAGACUGGGGCUAAUACCGGAUAGGAGCUCCUGCUGCAUGGUGGGGGUUGGAAAGUUUCGGCGGUUGGGGAUGGACGCGCGGCUUAUCAGCUUGUUGGUGGGGUGGUGGCUUACCAAGGCUUUGACGGGUAGCCGGCCUGAGAGGGUGACCGGCCACAUUGGGACUGAGAGCCGGCCCAGACUCCUACGGGAGGCAGCAGUGGGGAAUAUUGAACAAUGGGCGGAAGCCUGAUGCAGCAACGCCGCGUGCGGGAUGCCGGCCUCCGGGUUGUAAACCGCUUUCGCCUGUGACGAAGCGUGAGUGACGGUACUGGGUAAAGAAGCACCGGCUAACUACGUG
rnacentral:rRNA from 1 species